GACGAACGCUGGCGGCGUGCUUAACACAUGCAAGUCGAGCGACGCUCUUCCUUCGGGGAGCUGACGGAGCGGCGAACGGGUGAGUAACACGUGGGCAACCUGCCCCUAGCUCUGGGACAACACCGGGAAACCGGUGCUAAUACCGGAUACGACAUCGAGCGGCAUCUCUCGAUGUGGAAAGUUUUUUCGGCUAGGGAUGGGCCCGCGGCCUAUCAGCUUGUUGGUGGGGUAAUGGCCCACCAAGGCGACGACGGGUAGCCGGCCUGAGAGGGCGACCGGCCACACUGGGACUGAGACACGGCCCAGAAUCCUACGGGAGGCAGCAGUGGGGAAUAUUGCGCAAUGGGCGAAAGCCUGAAGCAGCGACGCCGCGUGAGGGAUGACGGCCUUCGGGUUGUAAACCUCUUUCAGCAGGGACGAAUUCAGACGGUACCUGCAGAAGAAGCACCGGCCAACUACGUG
rnacentral:rRNA from 1 species